rnacentral:lncRNA from 1 species
CACAAAGAGCAGGCCUACAAAACUUUACUAAGAUGGUAUCUAACCCCCGCAAGACAAUACCGAAUGGGUAAAACCGACUCGAACCUCUGCUGGAAACGGUGUGGGCAAAGGGGAACAUACAUACACCAAUGGUGGCAGUGCCCAAAACUAGCACCGCUAUGGGCAGAGGUGGCCCGCCUGGUCUCCAACUUACGGCACACAGAUAUACCCUUAGACCCAUGGAUAUGGCUCCUAUCCAAACCCUGGGAACCUUUAACCAGAGCCCAAAACAAACAGAACAGCUCUGGCAACCAGGAGGGCGAUAGCAGAAUUCUGGGGCAC